rnacentral:rRNA from 1 species
GCAGCCUCCUGGCAUCAUACUGACACUGAGGCUCGAAAGCGUGGGUAGCAAACAGGAUUAGAUACCCUGGUAGUCCACGCCGUAAACGAUGUCUACUAGUCGUUGGGUCCCUUGAGGACUUAGUGACGCAGCUAACGCAAUAAGUAGACCGCCUGGGGAGUACGGCCGCAAGGUUAAAACUCAAAUGAAUUGACGGGGGCCCGCACAAGCGGUGGAGCAUGUGGUUUAAUUCGAUGCAACGCGAAGAACCUUACCUGGUCUUGACAUAUCUAGAAUCCUGCAGAGAUGCGGGAGUGCCUUCGGGAAUUAGAAUACAGGUGCUGCAUGGCUGUCGUCAGCUCGUGUCGUGAGAUGUUGGGUUAAGUCCCGCAACGAGCGCAACCCUUGUCCUUAGUUACCAGCGGGUUAAGCCGGGAACUCUAAGGAUACUGCCAGUGACAAACUGGAGGAAGGCGGGGACGACGUCAAGUCAUCAUGGCCCUUACGGCCUGGGCUACACACGUGCUACAAUGGUCGGUACAAAGGGUUGCCAAGCCGCGAGGUGGAGCUAAUCCCAUAAAACCGAUCGUAGUCCGGAUCGCAGUCUGCAACUCGACUGCGUGAAGUCGGAAUCGCUAGUAAUCGUGAAUCAGAAUGUCACGGUGAAUACGUUCCCGGGCCUUGUACACACCGCCCGUCACACCAUGGGAGUGGGUUGCACCAGAAGUAGCUAGUCUAACCUUCGGGAGGACGGUUACCACGGUGUGAUUCAUGACUGGGGUGAAGUCGUAACAAGGUAGCCGUAGGGGAACCUGCGGCUG